UUCCAGCUCCAAUAGCGUAUAUUAAAUUUGCUGCAGUUAAAAAGCUCGUAGUUGGAUUUCUGGCGUGGUGCGUCUGGUCGCGCGGGGGGCAACCCCUGUGAUUGGUACCGGGAAGCGCGCCUGCCAUCAGGCGGGUUUUUGUGUUGUUCGCAAGAAUAGCAUGGAAAGAAGCGGGCAGGCCAGGUUCCGUGGCUCUCCGGAGCGGCGGCGUGGUGGCUCGUGUUUCCGCCCAUUUACUUUGAGCAAAUUA
rnacentral:rRNA from 1 species